rnacentral:misc_RNA from 1 species
AAAGUCGUAACAAGGUUUCCGUAGGUGAACCUGCGGAAGGAUCAUUAAAAAAUGUCACGGGGCCUCUCAUUUCUGCAGCAAUGUGGUCUUGAGAGUGUCACGGUACUACAUCACUUUGACCCCGCCCGCUAAUUCCGAAAGGCGUUAGCUAAGGUUGGGGGAUAAUGUGUCCACCCUCUUGUGAAACUUCUAUAUUUGCUUCGGCAGCACUCCCAGCGGGCAACCGUUGGUGGGAUAAGGCUGUCAGAAGACCCCCAAUUAUAAAAUUAGUAUUGAUGAAAUGUCAUGCAGUCUGAUAACUAUUCUUUGAGAAAUCAAAUUAUGUUAAAACUUUCAGCAACGGAUCUCUUGGUUCUC